ACUUUAUCCUAACUCAUGUUAGCCUUUUAAAUACAUAGAAAAGACAGCUAAUGUGCCUGUGUCUCCUCUAUGCAAAAGACCAAACUAGAUAGGAAAAUCUGCCAGUUUAAAAUGAACGUCGUCCUGCCUGUUGGCUAAGACUCGAGGCCAUUUCGAAAUGAGUAUUUUGCAUCUAGUUUUCUAUGCGGUAGAAUCCAAGCUCCUAACUUUUGAGCCCGGGUUGUAGUGCUGAUGUGGCCUACUUCUGCCACAGUAUGCUAGCCAGCAGCACGCAUCAAUUAGUUUAAUUUGUAGGAUUUAUUAAAAAAAAAAAAACAUUAUUUUUAAAUAAAUUGAUACUUCAGCUAUAUGCCGAUUUUACAAGAAGAUCACGCAUGAUUUUAAAAGGUAUGAGUCACCUUGAUCAGAUAUGUAUAUAUAUAUAUAAUGUGCGGAAAUUAGCAAUGCAGCAUUUAACUGACUCGUUAAUCGGUACGUCGCCUUCACGGGGAAGACGGAAGCGUCGUGUCUAGGAGCUAAGAAACUGCAAACUUGGCGGUGCAAGAUGCUCGUGCUGUCCCAGCCCCCCUCCCUCCCCGUCAUUCUGUGUGAGUAGGGAGGACUGGAGCUCACGUGCACUCGCUGCGCGGCCCCCGGUACAGUUGAACACAGGGUGCGAUACAUAAUUCAGUCCCACCAGGGGAACACCUCAGUCUCUCCUGUCAAGCCGCGGAGCUGCAGCCUCCACACAGCCUGUGGACCGAGACGCCGAUGCGGCUGUUUCCUGCUCCGGAGCGGAUGGAGAAUCAACCUUGGAGAAGGACGAACGCGGUGUUUGUUGCGGGUUGUGCAUGACUUCCAGCGGCUGAGGAAGGACAGGGCAGAGCCAGGAGCAGACAGACAGACAGACAGACAGGGGUGAUCUUCAGGAGACGUAAACAUUGUCAUGCCCUGCUUCAUGCACCGCGUCCCCCGAUCCGCUUCCUCCUCCUCCUCCUCCGCUGCAGGACAGAGGGCUGUGUUUUAGAGGAGAUCAGAAUAAGAAGAUGACGCUGUUGUCGAAGGUAAAUAUUAAGGUGAAGUUGUGUUCGGGAUAGGAGGCUCGGGCGGGCCACGCUCUGCACUGUAGGGAUCCUGCAUCCUGACUUUGCUGUGUCCGUGGUUUGCGGCCAUGCUGCAGGCAGCAUCCCCCGACCUGUUCCCGACUUGAGCUUCACUCUCUGGGAUUAACAAGUUCCCAAAAGCAGAAAAUUAGUAGUUCCACUUCUUAAUGUUUUGGAGUAAUAUUUAGAAGGCUACUCUUGGAACAUCCACUCCUCUGAGUAAGUGGAUGGUAAUGAACAUUUUUCAUGAGCAUUUUGAAAUUGCUUCACAUUUCAGCCCCAAACUGUAGGCUGUUCGAAAGGUCUGAUCAGCUGCAGACAUUUUAAUGAGCAAAGUAUCUCAAACGUUAAUCGAACCUGCCUCUGCAUGACUGCUCGGUGGGACCAGUCUUGUUAUUAUCACAGUUCACAUUAACGCAGCACCAUGGGUGCCAAGCAGACCAAAGGCCAGGAGCCUGGAGGGGCCAGCCCUCAGCACAGCUGGAAACGGACGCCCACCAAGGAGCGGGGCGACAUCUUGGCUUCCCUCAUGCUGAAGUCAGGGGACCGGCUGAGCCGUGGCGGGACGCCGCCGCCCUACCAGCGCCGCAUCGGCAUGAUCCAGGAGAUGAUGCUGAUGGCCAAGCAGGGCAAGCAGGACGAGGCCACAGAGAUGCUCAAGACACUCCGACAGGACCUGGGCAUGGAGUCAACAUCUCUGGAUGAUGUGUUGUACCGCUACGCCAGCUUCAGAAACCUGGUUGACCCCAUCACGCACGACCUGAUCAUCAGCCUGGCACGAUAUGUCCACUGCCCCAAGACGGAGGGCGACUCUCUCGGGGCGAUGGAGAAGGUUUGUCGUCAGCUGACCUACCAUCUCAGCCCCCACUCUCAGUGGAGGAGACAGGGCCUGCUCAAGAGGAAACCUCAGGCCUGUUUAAAGGCGGUGCUGUCGGCCCCUCCGUCCACCGGGGCGUUGGAUCUGUCCGGUAUCCCUCUGACGGCUCGGGACAUGGAGCGGCUGUGUGCUCACCUACAGCGUAAUGCGUCCAUUGUGGUCAGCUUGGAGCUGGGCUUCACCGAGCUGACGGACGAGGCGUUCCUCCUGCUGCUGCCCACGCUGGCCACCCUGCCACACCUGGAGACUCUGGCACUGAAUGGAAACAGGCUGACCAGAGCUAUUCUGAAGGAGCUGACUGAUGCCCUCAAGGACCCAGGCAGCUUCCCUAGCGUGACAUGGAUUGACCUGGGCAACAAUGUGGACAUCUUCUCCCUGCCGCAGCCCUUCCUGGUCAGCCUGAGGAAGCGCUGUCCCAAGCAGGGAAACCUGCCCACCAUCCUGGAGUUCGGAGAGAGUCAGGCCAGCGACCCCCCCGAGAGGCUGAGGGGACUGGGGGAAGAGGAGGAGACAGACGACACCAACCGGACUGAGAGCAUGGGCGAGCUCCGGUCGGAGGUGGAGGAGGAGCUGGAUGGGGAGAUGGAGAUAGAGGAGAUGAUGGAGGAGCUGCUGGACUUUGACAGGGAGGUGCAGGGGAAGGAUGACGAGGACGAGAGCAUGUGGACAGUGGAGGUGCAGAGGAAAGUGGGGAGGGGGGGGAGGAGUGGGGAGGAGAAGGAGGCGCAGAGGAAAGGGCAGCAGCCCGGAAGGAGGGCGGUGAUGGUGGAGGACGAGGACGACACACAGAGCCGUUCCUCCCACCUGUCCUGCUCCACCCAGUCACAACACUCCUCUGGACCCGUUGAGCCAGUGAGAGUGGAGGAGGAUAACCUAGACGAGGUGACCGACCAAUCAGACCACUUGACCUGAUUGCCGCUCCCUGCUCUGCUCUGCUUAUGUUUCCCCUCCCGUGUCGAGUCCUGUGUGGAAGGAGGCGAGAGUCUCCUGCAGAGGCUAACUGAGGGUGCUCAAAGUCAAACAGGCUGCAGUGUUAGAAGGAUGUAAUCCAUAUGAACAUGCCACUCGAUACUCCUUCCACUAAUCUGAUUUGUGACCAGCCACUGCAGCGUUCAGAUACUGGCAGAGUGUCAGCUGAACCCAGGAGAUCUUACCUCUGAAUGGAUUUGCAUGAAACUUUGUGGAUGGGUCAGUGCAUUGGGUGAACAUGGUGAGAAUCCAACAUGUAGAACUAGAAUAUCUUGACAAUUGCAUAUCAUUGGCGGAGGCAUGCACUGUACUGAAUGACAGUACAGUUCCCAUAGUAUCACAGCAAAGCUAUUUUCUGUCUUAGGACAAAGAUUUUAUUGAAACCACAUUCUGAUAAGCAAGAAAUAACCUCUAGAAACUAAAAUUAAAUGUCUGAAAAGGAGAAUAUUAAGAAAAAGACCUGAUCAGUAUAAAUAACUUGGUUCUCUGACUUACAAGUAAAUUAUUGUGUCAUUUAAAUAAAUGGAUACCAUUGUAACAGGGAAUUCAGUCAUUAAGCAUAUGCAAUUUUGAAAACAACUCUGCAUAUAUUAAGCCACCCCUGUUUUAUAAUACGUUUUUGAAUAUUCAUAAAAUAGAUUAUGAAACAAUAUUGUUGCCCAGGAAAACCGUACAAGUCCACCUAAAGCCACACUGUUUUAACCUAGCCUGUGUGCUGUCUGUUUAUCAGUGAGCGAGGGAAUUGUAUUAACUUGCGUCCUUUGAACUUUGCGGAUGUGAUCAGCGGCAACACCGUGGCACUGUGUGGAUCAUAUACAUGCUCUCCAUACAGCAGUUCCCUUUCGCCUCGUUAAUACAAACUAGCCUGCAGCCAUUCAGUGGCAUUGCACCUGAAGCUAAUUACAAAGACAAACUUCCCUUUAAGCUACCUUUACAAUAAGCUAUUAUUGCAUUGUCCCUGCAAAAUCAAUUUUACAAACCGCUCAGUACAAUGCACCCUUUAAACAGAGGCAGACGGGCUGUGAUGCUGAACAGUAGUGGGCAGCUCAGCUGAGCGCACCAUCACAUACACAGUUAAUGAGACAGAGGAAGCUUGUCUUUGAUAACUACAGUGAUUUUCAGCUUCUGAAGCCAUUGUGUGGAGGGAUGUCAAAUAUUGAUUGUUGUACAGUGAGUUCAGAUCGUGAUGUGAACGUAUGUAUCAACUACUGGUCAGUGUGGAUCAUUAGCUUUAGAUACUGCAUACAGUCAGUGCUUGGACCCGAUGUGCAGGGUCAGACUGACUCGUUGCGUGUGACUUCAACACACAUCAAGAACUACUGUGGAAGUUUAUAGACUCUAUUCUCAGGUUUACUGUGGUUUUCUUCUUGCUACUCUAACACGACUCCUUCUGACUGCAGAGAGAGAGUCGGACGGUGGCGAUCAGAGUUAUAUGUACAUGUUGGUAAUGUGCUGCAGCCAUGCACAUGUCUGCUUUUAUGGUAAGGUCACUGCAAAUCAAAGCAAAGAGAUCACAUCUGGAAUCAGACUGAUACGUCAACAUAGAUGUGGACUUUUAAUUUGAAACCUUUGAUCAGUGUCAUCCACCUUUUGAUAUAAAGGAUUCAGUGCAGCUUGAUCUUAAACUGAUUGCCUUUUGGAGGACAUUAACCUGAACCGAUGCCUUGUUUUGAUCUGAUUCCACACAAGAAUGCAUGAACAUGGUUUCUUAAAAUCAUUUCAAAGGUUGUCUAUCCUAACAAGAAUAAAGUGUGUUUGCAACCCUGAAUAACUUGUAACUCUUUUGGAAUUUAUUGCCCAGAAAAUGCUUGGAUACAUUAGGACAUAUAAAGAUUUAGCAAAUUGGCUUCAACCCCUCUGUUGGUCUGGUGGACUCUCUCUGCUCGUCACUACAGGCUGAAUGACUGGUACUUUCAUAUGUGACAUGAGAUGAUCGUUGUGUUUACCUUGGACUCAUACAGCAGGAGGGGCUAUGAGUGCUUUAAGUGACCAGUAGAUGUGAAGUUGUCAUGUAUGCCUUGCUCAAAGACUCUGCUGAUAUAUUGUGAGCUGUAAAAAGAAACAUGGUAAUGUGAAUUUGAAGGUAUGAGUGUAGCCUUGGAUCUUUUCUCUCUCCAUGAGUCUUUGUUCUAUAUGUAUUUCUCAAUUUAAAGUAUACCUCUGUAUUAUUCUCUCUACAGUAUCUUCCUCUGUCACUCUCCCCUUUCCUCAAAGCUCCCAUGGAUCUUUUAUUUUCAUGCCACUUUAUCGAGGUGAUCCAUUGAAAAGAAUACUCUGUGCAUUUAUUUACAGAUGAAAUUGUUCUGUUAUACCAUGGAUCCCAAUAAAUUCUCUGAUACAAAAACAAA